rnacentral:tRNA from 1 species
GCCGGGGUGGCCGAGAGGUUAGGCGGUGGGCUGCAGACCCGCUUCACAUGGGUUCAAAUCCCAUCCCCGGCU